rnacentral:lncRNA from 1 species
UAAAAUCUGGCUUUCUUCCCUCGUUGCUCCCGUCUCUCUCUGCUUCUUCUUCUUCCUCUCUCUUCCCUACUUCUACCUUUUCUGGAUCUUGAAACCCGCCCUCAAUCUCUCCAAAACGCAUGAAAAUUUCCAUAUAAUCUUUUGAUCCCUGUGUUUCAUCAACACAUUCCGUCCAAAUUUACUCUUUUAUACCCGUGUUGUUCCAUUGAUCUAACGCUUCUGAUUUGAUCACAUCUUGAGAGAUUGUUAAAAGGGAAAGAUCCUUUCAUCAUAUAAAGAAGUGGGUAUGUCUCAAAAAUUUUUCUUGUUUUUAUCAAUAUUACAUUUUUUUGGUAGUUUCCUGAUGCUGGUUUGCUUUAAAGUUUCUGACAUUUAUAAUCUUGUUAUAAAAUCUCUAGUAUUUUCCUGAUGAAAAGAUUGAAACUGUUUUCUCUUGUUAGAUUUGUGUUGCAUAGAAAUGAAAAUAAGGGGUUGAUUUGAGAGCAUUCUUGAUAAUGGGGUGGUUAAUUGCACUUUUAGUCUAGGUGCACCCAAACUGGCCGAACAGUUAUACAGAAAUUUGCAGUGUAGCAUGUGUCUUUUUCUAGCUUUAAUGGGUAAAAUGCCAAACAAUAAUGUCAUGGUGCAUAUACUUGUUUCACUUAAAAUAAUGUUAGUACUAAAUACUGUUUUUUGUAUGUCAGAAAUACUGUUUACUUUUGUUAUUUCUUGUGGUGUCAUUUAGAAUGUUGAGUCUUUAUAAUGGCCAUGAGUUAGGAUAUGUUUACUAACACAUUAUUAUGGUGACUUUGUAAAAGUCUUCUUGCUAAAGUCUUUGUUUAGCUGACCUCACUAACUUUGGUGUGAAUGUUUAUGCAAGUGCACCCUAUUAUUGAAGUUAUUUACUUUGUAGGUCCCAUAUAGGAAGUCAUUUUACAUGUUAAUGUUUGAUCUUUUUGACUAGCGCCUCAUUGUAUAGUCUAGCAGUCAAUGAAGUUAGAAUAGACCAUAGGAGAUCUAGGUUCAAAUUCCGGCUGAGAUAAAAAAAAUGCUAGGUGAUUUCUUCCUAUCUGUCGAAGCUUUGGUAGACAGAGUUACCCUGUACUGAAUUGGUACGAAGAUAGCAGGUGCCUGGUGAAUUAGUCAGAGUUGUGCGGAGGCUGACCUGGAUAAAAAAGAGGUCUUUGUGACCAUCUCAUGUAGUUGACUUUGAUACAACCAUUUAACUUGACUGAUUUUAGUGUUUCUAAUUGAAUACUUUGUUUGAAAUUUUCUCUUCUCAUAAAUUGAUUUUGCCUUUUGACUAUCAGGUCACCUGAGUGCCCCUCAAAUCUGUUACCUUUAUUGAGUGUAGUAAAUAGGGAUGCAUAACAUUGUAGAGAGCCUCAUUUCCCCAGGUCAAUUUCCUUUCCUAGUCAUACUAAUUUGCAUGUGGAUGGUGGUUGUUUCCUAUUAAUGGAUGCUGGGGUCCUAUGAGGGUGUAUUUUGUGGAUGAGGUGUAUGUAGUUACCGUGAAUUAGAUAUUUAAUACUAUUUGCUAGCCGUAUUGUGAACUAGUACUCUACCUUCUGAAGGUUUUAUUUGCAUAUUUGUUGACUUUAUUAAGCUUUAUCUGACAUAGAAUCUACAUAAGGGCAAUCUACAUUUAGAGACCAGGUUUUGGUACUAAGUCACUUUCUUCUGGGAGAUAAAACUCCUAAUUGUCUUUUAGGCUUUUGUGGGGACGUUGAGAAGUGGGACACAAGUGGUUGGUUUUCUCUUUUUUAUGUUAGCUCUGGCAGUUUUAUGCAUGACCAAAGAUGGUCAACUUUUUCCAAUGAUAGCAAGCUUGCUAUAUUGGAACUUAAACUCCAGAUCAUUUCCGGCGUGAGAAAAAGAAGACAAACUACAAUGUCACUGUACAAUACUUGUCACAAGAGAAAUAACACUAUGCAAUACUGCGAUUUAGUAUUUAAUCAUCAGUCAUGGUGACAGGUCAAAUUUUGGCAACAUAUUACUUUUAUGGGCAAAUAUUCUUGAUUUUUCAUAGGAAGAUGGUUAGAUUGUAUAGCAGUGAAAAUUGAGUAUUUUGUUCACUUGAACUUUUGGGCGUUCCCUAUGUUUCUGUGGUGUCAUCGGAUACAUGUAUUUUGUUUAAAAAAAUCCUUCCUGCGUGAUAAAUUUUAUCAAUAGUUAGCAUUUUUAUGCCUUUCUACUGAAUACCACAUACUUUGCUUCCCGUUUGAAGUAUUCUUUUCAGUUUUUGAGAGGGAACCCCCUAGUCUUCCCUACAGCUUGAGAACUAGAGUUAAAAGAAAAUAUUAAUCUUUUUCUGUUGGC